rnacentral:antisense_RNA from 1 species
CUUCAGCGAUCCGAGCCACAGCGGAGCAUCCUCCGGGCGGUCCUGACCAUAAGUAGUGAGGAUGGCCUGGGCUUC